rnacentral:tRNA from 1 species
GAGGGUGUAGCUUAGUGGUAGAGCAUGUGCUUAGCAUGCAAAGGUCCUGGGUUCAUUGCCUGGUACCUCCA